GUCUACGACCAUACCACCCUGAACAUGCCGAUCUCAUCUGAUCGCAGAAGCUAAGCAGGAUCGGGCCUGGUUAGUACAUGGAUGGGAAACCGCCUGGGAAUAGCGGGUGCUGUAGGCU
rnacentral:rRNA from 1 species